CCUACGGGAGGCAGCAGUGGGGAAUUUUGGACAAUGGGCGAAAGCCUGAUCCAGCAAUGCCGCGUGUGGGAAGAAGGCCUUCGGGUUGUAAACCACUUUUGUACGGAACGAAAAGGUCUGCUUUAAUAAAGCGGGCUCAUGACGGUACCGUAAGAAUAAGCACCGGCUAACUACGUGCCAGCAGCCGCGGUAAUACGUAGGGUGCGAGCGUUAAUCGGAAUUACUGGGCGUAAAGCGUGCGCAGGCGGUUAUAUAAGACAGUUGUGAAAUCCCCGGGCUCAACCUGGGAAUUGCAUCUGUGACUGUAUAGCUAGAGUACGGUAGAGGGGGAUGGAAUUCCGCGUGUAGCAGUGAAAUGCGUAGAUAUGCGGAGGAACACCGAUGGCGAAGGCAAUCCCCUGGACCUGUACUGACGCUCAUGCACGAAAGCGUGGGGAGCAAACAGGAUUAGAUACCCUGGUAGUCCACGCCCUAAACGAUGUCAACUGGUUGUUGGGUGCAUUAGUACUCAGUAACGAAGCUAACGCGUGAAGUUGACCGCCUGGGGAGUACGGCCGCAAGGUUGAAACUUAAAGGAAUUGACGG
rnacentral:rRNA from 1 species